rnacentral:rRNA from 1 species
UACAGACGAUCCAGCGUUGUUCGGAUUCACUGGGCGUAAAGGGUGCGUAGGUGGUGAGGUAAGUCGGAUGUGAAAUCUCCGAGCUCAACUCGGAAACUGCAUUGGAAACUACCUUGCUCGAGGGUUGGAGGGGGGACUGGAAUGCUUGGUGUAGCAGUGAAAUGCGUAGAUAUCAAGCGGAACACCAGUGGCGAAGGCGGCUCACUGGCCCGGUACUGACGCUGAGGUGCGAAAGCGUGGGGAGCAAACAGG